CUCAUGUGCCGCGCGUCUCAGACAUCGUGGGUGACCUAGCCCCCAAUCCAUAGCAACCACAUCCCUCCCUGCUCCUCCUCCUCCUCCUCCUCCCUCGUCUGCCACCGCAUCCCACCCUCUCCUCCAUCCUCUUCUGCUUCCUUCCUCCUCCCCGGAUCUGCACCCCAUACGAGGAGUAAAAAUGGCGGCGGCAGAGCACGGGGUUGGUGACAGCGGUUGUACGAGGUGGUCCACAGGCGAGGAACGGCCGCCAAGCAUUCCUCCGGGCACCGCACCGGAGCCUCAGCGGCUAAGGCUACAGUGGCGCUGCCAGUCCCUCCUCUUCCUCUCUCUCUCUCUCUCUCUCUCUCUCUCUCUCUCUCCCAUGCCACCGUUCCCCUCCCUCAUCCAUCGACACGGCCCAGUCCACCUCACCGAGAGCUCUCAGCAGUAGGGGGAAUGGCAGCGACGGUGGCUGCUGGACAGUAGGGGCCCGCUGAGGUGGUCCUUUCGAAGGAAGGGGGAGAGGAUGCCGGUGACAAGGUGAGCUUUGCCUACCCCCUCCCUCUUCUCUCUAUAUGCCUUCUAUAAAAUAUGUAUUCUGCUUUACUAUUUAGCAUAUUACAUAUUUUACUUUCAAAAAAGAUGGACUCUCUUAUGUUGAUCUUGAGAGAUUUUUUUAAAUUUUUCUUAGAUGUACUUUGAUCUGCUGUGAAUCUUGUGGUCACAAUCAACAUGUUUAUUUUGGCUAAAUUAUGAGUUGUCCGAAUCCGAUGUUAUCCGCACAACUAGGAGGGGGUGGAGAUGAAAUGGGGCCAAAUGAUCCCGCGACAACAAUAGUAGAUCUGAAUUUGUGUUGCUAGGGUGCAGACUGACCUGUCUUCGAGGAAAACCAUGGAGAUUCAAGUGCCAUUUUCUCCUACCAAUUCCUUUUUCAGCAGCUUUCAGAGAUGCCUCUUCAUUUGUUAGAGAAAAACAUGGAGAUGCAAAUGCAUUUUUUCCUGCCAAUUCCAUUUUCAGAAACUUUUAAAGAUGCAUCUUCAUUUGUUAGAAAAUACUUUUUUGAAUUAUGAGCUUGGUAUUUCAACAUGGCAUACCAAAUGUACUUUUGAAUAUAAUGUUAUGUUUCUACUUGCAAAGUUUUUUGAGUGGUAAAUUGUUUUUCAAAUUUCCAAGGACAUAUUAAUUUAUGUGGUUGCAGAGGAGUAUAUCAAGUUAUCAGCAGGGUGCAUCAACGGCUCGCAGCGGAGGAAGCUACGGCGACUGGUACUGCUGCAGCAAGGCGCUAGCUAGCUAGGUGUAGCUGACACAAUAAGUUUGCAUUUCGCUUUAGAAUUCAAAGGAGAUCAUUUGUUUUAUAGUCCUAAUAAGGUCACGCCUUUUCCCUUUUUAUUUCUUUGUCCCUCAAAUUGGGGCUACUGAGUGUUUGUGAUGGAAAUUUACGGGUCAGUGUUCGGAUUGGUUUGUGGGGAUUACGGGUUGAUAAGGAAUUCAUGCUUGAUGGUCAUGUAUUUUGAUAUCGUGAUUUGUGUUGACGUUCUGCAUAUGUUCAGGAAAGAAGAUAGUAGGACAAAGCUACAGGACGAGUAUGGUGAAAAGAAUUAUUUGCUUUGUCAAUGUAUAAGGGGAGUUACGUCCAUGGUAGAGGUGCAGAUCAAGGAGGUCGGCAAAUGGGACGAGGUUGGGUGACGUGUACAAGGGAGGAAAAAGGUGUAGGUCCUUGGUUUUUUGGUGAUGGUAGUGGCAUACUUCCUUCGGUGAAGAAAGGAAUCCCCAGCGCGUACAAUGACGUUAUUGUUGCUAGCAGCAGGGGGUGGAAGCUUGGCACAUGUAUGUCUCAAUGUCUUAUUUGUUAGUGUUGCCAGCUCUGAGCAAUGCAUGCCGAGUGGUUGUUGCAUAUAUGUUAUUGCUACAUUAGCAAAUUUGUUUUAGGUGAGAGAAAAUGUCUUUUUGUUUCAUACAUUGUUGUUUCAGUUAGUAGUGAAUACUGAUGAUGCUCAUGGGAACUUUGAAGACAUUGCUGAACUUUAUCUCAUCAUUUAACAACUUUGAUUUCUAAUUAGCGCGACGAUCUUCACCAAUAUUUAUGUCAAAAAGGAAAUUAGUUGGAAUUGGUUUACUGUCUGAUGAGACUAAAUAUCCACAUUAUCCAAAUCCCAAGGUGUCGAGGUUGAUUCCUAUUUUUCUUUAUUUCUUUUUCAUUUUCAUCUAAUCUUUACUGACCAAUUUUUUGUAUGCAUGUCACUAAUUAUUUUUCCGCUUGUUCAAUACCUAAUGCACGUACAUUAGCUUUGACUAUUUGUGCAUUGUAGUUUGUAGCCUGAUAGUAGCUAUGUAAAAAAAAUACAUUGUUUAUUCAGUUUUGGUUUUUCACUCAGACAUACAAUGGUUAGUUUUGUUAAUCCAUACAUAGUCGUAUGUGUAGGUUGAUGAUAUCGUAUGUUUCAUUCAAUAUCUUGUGCAAAGUUACAUGCAUAUUUUUCUUUCUUUAGGCCGUACACCCGUUUGAUUUCUGGACCCAUUAUUUAAUGGUUCUCUUGCACGUGAUGUGAAGUUUAGCUAUUGUGAUCAAGGAAAUAACAUAUAUCUGUGUGGUUUGUUCCUGCUGUUGAUCGGCCAUUGCUGCAUUUAAAGUAUGUUGUGCCCGGUGCUACUAAAUGGUAUAUAAAACCUAUAGUUGUACAUAAAACGCCUUGAUAUGCAAAUAAGCCAGUUAAAAUAAAUGGUUUGCGCCAUCUGGCAUUACAUGACGGCAUGCCAAACACUUUGCCACCUAGGAUAGUCUAUAUUUGUAUUUCCUUCAAUUAUCUCAUAUUUCCAGUAAAAGAACUCUUCGUUUUGGGGUUUUGGAAUAAUCUUUAGGAAGUUGGUGACGAGUUAGUAGAACCGAUGGAAAUGUCGCUUUCAUUGGACAAUGGCAUGCCAAAGACGCCACUGCCUGAUGUAGUCUUUGGACUUAAGCUAUUUUAUAUGUACAAUAACAAGAUUUGUCGCUUCGGUUUUUUAGAAUAAUCUUUGAUAAGUUGGUUAAGAAUUAGAGCAAAAUUUACGCUCAUGAGUAGUAUUUGUUGUACAAACAUCCAGUUAAUUCUUGAGAUACAAUA